GACGGAGGAUGCAAGUGUUAUCCGGAAUCACUGGGCGUAAAGCGUCUGUAGGUGGUUUAAUAAGUCAACUGUUAAAUCUUGAGGCUCAACUUCAAAAAUCGCAGUCGAAACUAUUAGGCUAGAGUAUAGUAGGGGUAAAGGGAAUUUCCAGUGGAGCGGUGAAAUGCGUAGAGAUUGGAAAGAACACCGAUGGCGAAGGCACUUUACUGGGCUAUUACUAACACUCAGAGACGAAAGCUAGGGUAGCAAAUGGG
rnacentral:rRNA from 1 species